rnacentral:lncRNA from 1 species
ACUGUAUAAAGGCGGGCGCAGAUCUAUGAAUAGGAGACGUUGUACUAGUAUCUACAGGCCCUAAAUUAUCAACAGGCUCUCCGAGCACGUUAAAAAUUCGUCCCAGAGUCGCUCCCCCAACUGGAACACUUAUAGGAGCUCCUGUGUCAAUCACUGCCAUUCCUCUCGUUAGACCUUCUGUAGCACUCAUAGCUACAGCCCUAACUCGAUUAUUUCCUAAUAAUUGCUGUACCUCACAAGCCACAUUAAUUGGUUGACCAACACUAUCUCGACCUUGAACUACCAGAGCGUUAUAAAUAUUUGGCAUCUUGCCCGGGGGAAAGGCUACAUCUAGUACCGGACCGAUGAUUUGGACGACACGCCCCGGGUUUUUUUUUUCAAGCGUGGAAACCCCAGAACCAGAAGUAGUAGGAUUGAUUCUCAUAAUAAUAAAAUAAAUAUGUCGAAAUGUUUUUUCCAAAAUUAUCGAAUUCAAAAAAAAUGUCCGCUAGCACGUCGAUCGGUUAAUUCAAUAAAAUCGGAAUUAGCACUCGAUUUCGUUGGCACCAUGCAAUUGAACCAAUCCAAUUGUUUACUUAUUCAAUGAGACUGAGUUAAUUUGGCAGCUCACCCAACCUAUUUUCAUUUAACAAUCUCAAGUGGAUGAAUCAAAAUCUUGAGAAAGUCUUUCAUUUGUCUACCAUUAUAGACAAGCCCAUCCAUAUUAUCGAUUCUAUGGAAUUCGAACCUGAACUUUAUUUUCUAUUUCUAUUACGAUUCAUUAUUUGUAUCUAAUGGGCUCCUCUUCUUAUUUCUUUUUAUUUCAAUUUCAGCAUAUCGAUUUAUGCCUAGCCUAUUCUUUUCUUUGCGUUUUUCUUUCUUUUUUAUACCUUUCAUAGAUUCAUAGAGGAAUUCCAUAUAUUUUCACAUCUAGGAUUUACAUAUACAACAUAUACCACUGUCAAGGGGGAAGUUCUUAUUAUUUAGGUUAGCUAGGUAUUUCCAUUUCAAAAAAAAAAAAGAUAAAAAAUCAAAAUUGGGUUGCGCUAUAUAUAUGAAAGAGUAUACAAUAAUGAUGUAUUUGGCAAAUCAAAUACCAUGGUCUAAUAAUCAACCAUUCUGAUUAAUUGAUAAUAUUAGUAUUAGUUGGAAAUUUUGUGACAGAUUCCUGUGAAAAGUUUCAUUAACGCGGAAUUCAUGUCGAGUAGACCUUGUUGUUGUGAUAAUUUUUAAUUCAUGAGUUCUAGGGAGGGAUUUAUGUCACCACAAACAGAGACUAAAGCAAGUGUUGGAUUCAAAGCUGGUGUUAAAGAGUACAAAUUGACUUAUUAUACUCCUGAGUACCAAACCAAGGAUACUGAUAUAUUAGCAGCAUUCCGAGUAACUCCUCAACCUGGAGUUCCACCUGAAGAAGCAGGGGCCGCGGUAGCUGCCGAAUCUUCUACUGGUACAUGGACAACUGUAUGGACCGAUGGACUUACCAGUCUUGAUCGUUACAAAGGGCGAUGCUACCGCAUCGAGCGCGUUGUUGGAGAAAAAGAUCAAUAUAUUGCUUAUGUAGCUUACCCUUUAGACCUUUUUGAAGAAGGUUCCGUUACCAAUAUGUUUACUUCCAUUGUAGGUAACGUAUUUGGGUUCAAAGCCCUGCGCGCUCUACGUCUGGAAGAUCUGCGAAUCCCUCCUGCUUAUGUUAAAACUUUCCAAGGUCCGCCUCAUGGGAUCCAAGUUGAAAGAGAUAAAUUGAACAAGUAUGGUCGUCCCCUGUUGGGAUGUACUAUUAAACCUAAAUUGGGGUUAUCUGCAAAAAACUACGGUAGAGCUGUUUAUGAAUGUCUUCGCGGUGGACUUGAUUUUACCAAAGAUGAUGAGAACGUGAACUCACAACCAUUUAUGCGUUGGAGAGAUCGUUUCUUAUUUUGUGCCGAAGCACUUUUUAAAGCACAGACUGAAACAGGUGAAAUCAAAGGGCAUUACUUGAAUGCUACUGCAGGUACAUGCGAAGAAAUGAUCAAAAGAGCUGUAUUUGCUAGAGAAUUGGGCGUUCCGAUCGUAAUGCAUGACUACUUAACGGGGGGAUUUACCGCAAAUACUACCUUGGCUCAUUAUUGCCGAGAUAAUGGUCUACUUCUUCACAUCCACCGUGCAAUGCAUGCGGUUAUUGAUAGACAGAAGAAUCAUGGUAUCCACUUCCGGGUAUUAGCAAAAGCGUUACGUAUGUCUGGUGGAGAUCAUAUUCACUCUGGUACCGUAGUAGGUAAACUUGAAGGUGAAAGAGACAUAACUUUGGGCUUUGUUGAUUUACUGCGUGAUGAUUUUGUUGAACAAGAUAGAAGUCGCGGUAUUUAUUUCACUCAAGAUUGGGUCUCUUUACCAGGUGUUCUACCUGUGGCUUCAGGAGGUAUUCACGUUUGGCAUAUGCCUGCUCUGACCGAGAUCUUUGGGGAUGAUUCCGUACUACAGUUCGGUGGAGGAACUUUAGGACAUCCUUGGGGUAAUGCGCCAGGUGCCGUAGCUAAUCGAGUAGCUCUAGAAGCAUGUGUAAAAGCUCGUAAUGAAGGACGUGAUCUUGCUCGGGAAGGUAAUGAGAUUAUUCGCGAGGCUUGCAAAUGGAGCCCGGAACUAGCUGCUGCUUGUGAGGUAUGGAAAGAGAUCGUAUUUAAUUUUGCAGCAGUGGACGUUUUGGAUAAGUAAAAACAGUAGACAUUAGCAGAUAAAUUAGCAGGAAAUAAAGAAGGAUAAGGAGAAAGAACUCAAGUAAUUAUCCUUCGUUCUCUUAAUUGAAUUACAUUACAAUUUAAUUCGGCUCAAUCCUUUUAGUAAAAGAUUGGGCCGAAUACAACUAAGAUUCUAUUGCAUAUAUUUUGAUCAAGAUUUGAAAUACAAAAUCUAGAAAACUAAAUCAAAAUCUAAGACUCAAAUCUUUCUAUUAUUGUCUUGGAUCCACAAUUAAUCCUACGGAUCCUUAGGAUUGGUAUAUUCUUUUCUAUCCUGUAGUUUGUAGUUUCCCUGAAUCAAGCCAAGUAUUCCAACUCUUUCUACCCAUCCUGUAUAUUGUCCCCUUUGUUCCGUGUUGAAAUAGAACCUUAAUUUAUUACUUAUUAUUAGAUUUUAGAUUGUUAGAUUAGUUAGUGAUUAGAUAUUAGUAUUAGACGAGAUUUUACGAAUUUUUUUUAUUUCUUUAUAUUUAUAAGAGAGGACAAAUCUCUUUUUUUCGAUGCGAAUUUGACACGACAUAGGAGAAGCCGCCCUUUAUCAAAAAUUCUAUUAUUUUUAUAUUCUUUUUAAUAAUAAAAGGGGGUUCCAACAUAUUAAUAUAUAGUGAAGUGUUCCCCCAGAUUCAGAACUUUUUUUGAAUACUCACAAUCCGUAUUAGUUAAUAAUCCUAGUGAUUGGAUUUCUAUGCUUAGUCUGAUAGGAAAUAAGAUAUUCAAAUAAAGAAUUUUAUAGCGAAUGACUAUUCAUCUAUUGUAUUUUCAUGCAAAUAGGGGGCAAGAAAACUCUAUGGAAAGAUGGUGGUUUAAUUCGAUGUUGUUUAAGAAGGAGUUCGAACGCAGGUGUGGGCUAAAUAAAUCAAUGGGCAGUCUUGGUCCUAUUGAAAAUACCAGUGAAGAUCCAAAUCUAAAAGUGAAAAACAUUCAUAGUUGCAGUAAUGUUGAUUAUUUAUUCGGCGUUAAAGACAUUUGGAAUUUCAUCUCUAAUGACACUUUUUUAGUUAGUGAUAGGAAUGGGGACAGUUAUUCCAUCUAUUUUGAUAUUGAAAAUCAUAUUUUUGAGGUUGACAACGAUCAUUCUUUUCUGAGUGAACUAGAAAGUUCUUUUUAUAGUUAUCGAAACUCGAGUUAUCUGAAUAAUGGAUUUAGGGGCGAAGAUCCCUACUAUAAUUCUUACAUGUAUGAUACUCAAUAUAGUUGGAAUAAUCACAUUAAUAGUUGCAUUGAUAAUUAUCUUCAGUCUCAAAUCUGUAUAGAUACUUCCAUUAUAAGUGGUAGUGAGAGUAACGGUGACAGUUACAUUUAUAGGGCCAUUUGUAGUGGUCAAAGUCUAAAUAGUAGUGAAAACGAGGGUUCCAGUAGACGAACUCGCACAAAGGACAGUGAUUUAACUAUAAGAGAAAGUUCUAAUGAUCUCGAGGUAACUCAAAAAUACAAGCAUUUGUGGGUUCAAUGCGAAAAUUGUUAUGGAUUAAAUUAUAAGAAAUUUUUGAAAUCAAAAAUGAAUAUUUGUGAACAAUGUGGAUAUCAUUUGAAAAUGAGUAGUUCGGAUAGAAUUGAACUUUUGAUCGAUCCGGGUACUUGGGAUCCUAUGGAUGAAGACAUGGUCUCGCUGGAUCCCAUUGAAUUUCAUUCGGAGGAGGAGCCUUAUAAGGACCGUAUUGAUUCUUAUCAAAGAAAGACAGGAUUAACCGAGGCUGUUCAAACAGGCAUAGGCCAACUAAACGGCAUUCCCGUAGCAAUUGGGGUUAUGGAUUUUCAGUUUAUGGGGGGUAGUAUGGGAUCCGUAGUCGGAGAGAAAAUCACCCGUUUGAUUGAACACGCUGCCAAUCAAAAUUUACCUCUUAUGAUAGUGUGUGCUUCUGGGGGGGCGCGCAUGCAGGAAGGAAGUUUGAGCUUGAUGCAAAUGGCUAAAAUAUCGUCUGCUUUAUAUGAUUAUCAAUUAAAUAAAAAAUUAUUUUAUGUAUCAAUCCUUACAUCUCCGACAACUGGUGGAGUGACAGCUAGUUUUGGUAUGUUGGGGGAUAUCAUUAUUGCCGAACCCAAUGCCUACAUUGCAUUUGCAGGUAAAAGAGUAAUUGAACAAACAUUGAAUAAAACAGUACCCGAAGGUUCACAAGCAGCUGAAUACUUAUUCCAGAAGGGUUUAUUCGACCUAAUUGUACCACGUAAUCUUUUAAAAAGCGUUCUGAGUGAGUUAUUUAAGCUCCACGCCUUUUUUCCUUUGAAUCAAAAGUCAAGCAAAAUCAAGUAGAGCACUAAGUUCAAUUAUUUUUUUUGUGUUUGUAGCAAAAAGUAGUUAGUUUAUCGGAAUCAAAGUAAAUAAGAUAAUAAUGGCCUUUUCUUUGGUGAUAGAAGAUCGAAUUGUAGAAAGAAUUAAAACGAAAGUUGAGGAUAACUCUUUUUUUGACCUAUAUUCCUGAUUACGAAUCAAGAAACCUUUAUCACCAAGAGUGAGUUCUUCCUUUCGUGAAAUUAGUAAAAUAAAACGAAUUUGGUCUUGUCUUAGGUAUAUAAUUUGAAAUUUCAAUAGAGAUAAUAGAGUUUUGUAUCUUUCUCUAUCUACCGAAAAACCAUUUUAGCUAAAAAUCCAUGUUGGGUCGGAUUCGAAUGAAUCCGUCGAUAAUCUGUAAAAAACUCUUUAUCUAUUUUUAGAAAAGUAGAAGACAAGAACAAAAGACAAAGAAAUGAAGAAAAAUAAUAAAGUUUAUUAUCAUACAUAUCUUUCUCAUGGAGGAGAUGAAUAAGUCCAUUUAUUUAGUUCUACAGUUCUACAUUCUUUGCACUUAUUCUUAUUAUACGUACUCAGUUAGAUUUAGAUAUAUCGAUACUUCGAUCUAUACUAAGAAUUUCAAAUUCUUCAAAUUCUAUUAAUAAUAAAUAUUAUCUAAUAUCUAAUUAGAAUUCAAAUUCUUAAUUUAAUUAUAAUUAUUACAAGAUAUCUUUAUUUAUAUAAUAACAUAAUAACAGAUACAAAUAGUAAAUCGAGGUACCCCUUCUAUGACAAAUUUGAACCUUCCAUCUAUUUUUGUGCCGUUAGUAGGCCUAGUCUUUCCGGCAAUUGCAAUGGCUUCUUUAUUUCUUCAUGUUCAAAAAAACAAGAUUGUUUAGAUCCGCUGGGACCCAAUCUCAUCCAUUUUUUUUUUGAAAACGUGGACUUGUAUCAUAACACGGAUAUCUAUUUAUUGGAGUAUAGUAUAACAUGUGAUUUCCACCGAACAUAAAGGAAAAAACUCUUAUGCCCGCAGAAACAUGAUAUAUGGAUAUAUCAAUUCUAGCAAUUUUCAAAUAGAUCAGGAUCUCUGGAUGGCUGAAAUGUAGUCGGUGAAUCUAUAUGUAUAUCGAUAUGUAUAGUGGGAUCGUAUUAAAUAAAGAGUAUGUUAUUAUUUUAGAUUUAACCAAUUUGAUGAAUUACUCCUAAAGGUUGACAUCAAACUAGUGCUAGUUCACCUCAAACUAGUGCUAGUUGAUGAGAGUUACUUCGGAAACAAAAAAGUAAAGUCAAAUUUUUCUGGGGUAUUAUCUCAAUUCCAAUAAAAUGCAAUCGAGUAAAGUAUGACUUGGCGAUCAGACGAUAUAUGGAUAGAACUUAUAACGGGGUCUCGAAAAAUAAGUAAUUUCUGCUGGGCCUUGAUCCUUUUUUUAGGUUCAUUAGGCUUCUUAUUAGUUGGAACUUCCAGUUAUCUUGGUAGAAAUUUGCUAUCUUUUUUUCCGCCUCAGCAAAUCAUUUUUUUCCACAAGGAAUCGUGAUGUCUUUCUACGGAAUUGCGGGUCUCUUUAUUAGCUCUUAUUUGUGGUGCACAAUUUCCUGGAAUGUAGGUAGUGGUUAUGAUCGAUUCGAUAGAAAGGAGGGAAUAGUCUGUAUCUUUCGUUGGGGAUUUCCGGGAAAAAAUCGUCGCAUAUUCCUCCGAUUCCUUAUAAAAGAUAUUCAGUCCGUUAGAAUAGAAGUUAAAGAGGGUAUUUAUGCUCGUCGUGUUCUUUAUAUGGACAUCCGAGGCCAGGGGUCCAUUCCCUUGACCCGUACUGAUGAGAAUUUGACUCCACGAGAAAUUGAACAAAAGGCUGCUGAAUUAGCCUAUUUCUUGCGUGUACCAAUUGAAGUAUUUUGAUAAAUUGAGAAUCAGAACGUUCAUUCAAUUAAAGAAAACGUAUAUGAAAGAACCAUAAAACGAAACUCUUUUUAUGGUCUUUAUGUGCACGCAAUUCAAUAACAAAUAACAAAUCGAAAUAAUAGAUUCAUCUCAGACGGCAAACCAUUUCGAAAGCAAGAAUUUUUUUUAGUUCAAUAUUUGUUGGAAUUGACACUUUAGAUCCAGAUAGAUCGUAUCUUGUAAAUUUGAAAUUCUUUCUUUUGUAUUCUUUAAUGACCAACAAUUGGAUUUCUUAAUUAAAUACUGAGAACUAGCCAAUUUAUCCUUUGCUAGUCAUUUUUUUUUUAUCAUCCUAAUAUCUUUCCCUCAAUUAUUCUAUUCCUGACUAUGGGUAAUCAAUGAAAUUUUUUCGAAAUAUUGGAUAUUUUGAUAGCAAAGGAGUUCUUUCGUCUCAAAAUCUGAAUAAUAUUCAUUACUUAAAGUGGUUCUUUCGGUCAUUCAUCGAAAGGAUACACUUAAUUUUUAAUUUGACCAAUUGAGAUAUCAGGAAACAAUAUUCUCAAUUUCUUCAUUCGAAGUGAAUUCUUAGCCUAUUUCUGUAUUCUUUCUAGAUUCAAAGACUAACCACAAAAUCACAAAGAAAAUAGAUUCAUAAGUUCGAUACCUUGUAUAAAACUCAUGUGUGUAAGAAAUAUUCGAUCGCAUAGAGUGUACGAAUGGGUUGAUUAACAAUUUACAGACGAAAAAAAUGGCAAAAAAGAAAGCAUUCACUCCUCUUUUCUAUCUUGCAUCUAUAGUAUUUUUGCCCUGGUGGAUUUCUUUCUCAGUUAAUAAAUGGCUGGAAUCUUGGGUUACUAAUUGGUGGAAUACUGGGCAAUCCCAAAUUGUCUUGAAUAAUAUUCAAGAAAAGAGUCUUCUAGAAAAAUUCAGAGAAUUAGAGGAACUCCUCUUCUUGGACGAAAUGAUCAAGGAAUACUCGGAAACACAUCUCGAAGAGUUUGGGAUAGGAAUCCAUAAAGAAACGAUCCAAUUAAUCACGAUACAAAAUGAGAAUCGUAUGGAUACGAUUUUGCACUUCUCAACAAAUAUAAUCUGGUUUGGUAUUCUAAGCGGGUAUUCAAUUUUGGGUAAGGAAAAACUUGUUAUUCUUAACUCUUGGGCUCAGGAAUUCCUAUAUAACUUAAGUGACACAGCAAAAGCUUUGUGUAUUCUUCUAGUAAGUGAGUUUUUUCUCGGAUAUCAUUCACCCCCAGGUUGGGAAUUCGUUAUACGCUCUAUCUAUAACGAGGUUGGAGUUGUUGCGAAUGAGCAAACUAUAACUAUUCUUGUUUGCAUCCUUCCAGUAAUUUUUGAUACAUGUUUUAAAUAUUGGCUUUUCCGUUAUUUAACUAGUCUGUCUCCGUCAAUUUUACUGCUUUAUGAUUCAAUAACUGAAUGAUAAAGGAUCCAUUGAUAUUAAUCUAAUCCAAUUAGAAUGCUUAGUACUUUGUAGUUGUACAUAAGCAAAGUAUUGAAAAUCAUAUUUACUCUUCCUAUUUCUAACCAUCGGGAAGAUUCAUCCUAGAUUAUUCCAGCAAAUAGCAGAAUCGUGGCUAGGGAACUAUACUAGCGACCUACCCAAUUUAUUGUAGAAAUUUUCGCGAUCAAUGAUUGGACCAUGCAAACUAGAAAUGCUUUUUCUUGGCUAAAGAAACAGAUUACUCGAUCUAUUUCCGUAUCGCUCAUGAUAUAUAUCUUAACUCGGACGUCCAUUUCAAGUGCAUAUCCCAUUUUUGCACAGCAGGGUUAUGAAAAUCCACGAGAAGCGACUGGGCGUAUUGUAUGUGCCAAUUGCCAUUUAGCUAAUAAGCCCGUGGAAAUUGAGGUUCCACAAGCGGUACUUCCUGAUACUGUAUUUGAAGCAGUUGUUCGAAUUCCUUAUGAUAUGCAACUGAAACAGGUUCUUGCUAAUGGUAAAAAAGGGGGGUUGAACGUCGGAGCUGUUCUUAUUUUACCGGAGGGGUUUGAAUUAGCUCCUCCCGAUCGUAUUUCUCCUGAGAUGAAAGAAAAGAUUGGCAAUUUGUCUUUUCAGAGCUAUCGCCCCAAUAAAACAAAUAUUCUUGUGGUAGGCCCUGUCCCUGGUAAAAAAUAUAGUGAAAUAACCUUCCCUAUUCUUUCCCCGGACCCUGCUACUAAGAAGGAUGUUCACUUCUUAAAAUAUCCUAUAUACGUAGGCGGGAACAGGGGAAGGGGUCAGAUUUAUCCCGACGGCAACAAGAGUAACAAUACAGUUUAUAAUGCUACAGCAGCAGGUAUAGUAAGCAAAAUCAUACGAAAAGAAAAAGGGGGGUAUGAGAUAACCAUAACGGAUGCGUCGGAGGGACGUCAAGUGGUUGAUAUUAUCCCUCCCGGACCAGAACUUCUUGUUUCCGAGGGCGAAUCUAUCAAAUUUGAUCAACCAUUAACGAGUAAUCCUAAUGUAGGCGGAUUUGGUCAGGGAGAUGCAGAAAUAGUACUUCAAGAUCCAUUACGUGUCCAAGGACUUUUGUUCUUCUUGGCAUCUGUUAUUUUGGCACAAAUCUUUUUGGUUCUUAAAAAGAAACAGUUCGAGAAGGUUCAAUUGGCCGAAAUGAAUUUCUAGAUUCGCAGAUUUAUCGAUAUCAAGUACGUAAAAAGAACCAAAUUCUUGUUGGCGAUUAUUUAUGAUCAAAAAAAUGAAAUUAUGAAAACUCCUUUGUCUUAUUUAUACUCUUCUUCAAAAUCUACAUUACAUACUCUUUUUCUACGAGAUGCUGGGAAUCCCUUGUACCACAUAGUAUGUAGAUUUUGAAGAAGAGUAUUUGGCUUUCAUUUAUUUGAUUUAGUUUUUUUUUAAUUGGAGUAGUGUAACUAUGUUACUAUUGCCAGAUUUCACUGCCAUAAAACGUAUCAAUAGUUUUCUAUUCUAAAUAGAAAGAAAGUCAAAUUUGUCUAAAUACUAGACAUAAGGAAGCGGGGGAUAAAUGCGGGGAAGAAAAAAUUCUAGGAGGGAUUAUUUGUCUUCCUAGUCUUCGACACAAGAAAGGGGUGUAGAAAAAUCCUUUUUUCUUGUGUCGAAACGAAAGAGUAAUGAUUCUUGAUCCUGUUUGUUAAAAAUUCCUAGUCUUGGUUUCAAUUUUUCCAGAUGUAUCAGAAACCCUACACCUACCCCCUUACAUAUAAUAUAUGAAUUGGUGGACAAACAAAACAAAAAAGAGAGGA